GUUCCUGUAGCGCAAUGAAUAGCGCGUUGGACUUCUAAUCCAAAAGUCGUGGGUGUUCAAUUACCACGAGAGAUG